ACAAAUACAGAAAGGAACAAUUGGUCUUGCUCCAGCAACUGAAGAAGAAUUCUGAUUACAUUAUCUGAAUGUAGAAGAUGACCAAAGGAGCAAAACUUCAGGAGCACAGAAGAGGCUCAGGAUGUACAUCAGGCAUCUCUAAUGUGGCCCUGUCUCUUGAGAUGUGCUAUUAACAUGGAGUUCCAGAGCCAGUUUAAAUGUGAUUAAAUAGCAAAGGGGCUCCAGGAGGCAGAGACAGGCUGCUUUAAGAAGGGAUAAGCAGCAGCAAUUGCCUUUUACAAUCAGCUUCUCAUCAUUGCUACCUGCCUGCAAGCAAUCUCACGCUCCAGAGAGGCUUUUUAUUUCCACUUUAUGGCACACAAUCCUGAGGGGAGAUGUGGGUUCAAACUUUCUCGGAGGAAGGGACGCUGACAAGCCUGCAUCCUGUGCAAAUGCAGAUAAACCAUUGAGGCAAGGCAUGGUCUGCACAUACUUAUCAG